GAAAAAAGUAUGAACAUAGAUAGAAAUUUGUUUAACAAAACAAACUAUUGGAAGUCAGAUCUGGCAGGAUGUAGAAAGUGGUUUUGUUAUAGGGAUGGCAGUGUUUGCUCAGCAUUGGAAGAUCCAUCCCCAAAAGUCAUCAUUUUAACAGAGGAAAGGAAAAAGACAUAUGAUCCUGUCACUAAUUGGAGAAAAAGUAUUGAACUAAAUUUUACAGCUAUUCAUGGUAAAAGCUAUCAGGCGACUAGAAGUAGAACAGAAACUUCUCAACAGAUUAAAGACAUGUACUCCAUACUUCCAGCGAGAAUGCCUUAUACAAAUGGAGAAGAUACAAUGCUUUCUCCUUAAGGUGGGGAACAAGGGCAGAUAUGUUUACUCUUUAUCUGUCCAUUAAACUUUGAAACCUAGCCCCCACCAAAAUAGUCUGGCAAUAAAAUAACACAACUAGGAUAGGAUUGGCAUAGCAGAAGCAAAACUUUAUAUGUAGAUGAAAUGAUCAUCUACAGAGAAAAUACUAAGAAAUCUCUAGGAGCUCCUAGAACUUGUACUUGAAUUAGCAAGAUUGGAAAACACAAGGUAUAUAUAAAAAUUCAGGUCUGUAUAUACUUGCUAUAAAUGAAGAAAUGGAUAUUGAAAUUUAAAAGUUAUGUAGGAGUACAAAGGACUUAGAAAAGUUUAAAAAAACAAAAACAGUGUUGGAAGACGUUUAAUACCUAAUUUUAAGACUUCUUCUAAAACUACAGUAAUCAAGGCAGUGUUGGUGUAAGGAAAGACAUAUGGAUCAUUUGAAUAAAACAGAGACUCUAGAGAUAGAACCACACAUAUAUGGUUCACUGAGUUUUUGAAAGAUUAUUUAACAUUAGCAUUUUAUAGAAUAUAAACUCAGUUCAAGAGCUGAGGAAGAGACAGUGUUUUCAGCAAACGGCACUAGAACACCUGGUAUCCAUAUAUAAAAAAUUAACCUCAACCCUUUUUUUCCAUACAUGAAAAUAACUUGAAGGGAUCUAUGAACCUAAAUAAGAAAGCCUAAAAGUAUAAAACUUUAAGAAGAAAUUAUAAGGGAAAAUAUUUAUGAAUUCAGGGUAGGCAAGAACUACCUAGGAUACAAUAAACAUGAUGUUUAAAAGAAAAAAAUUGAUAAAUGAGAGUUCAUCAAAAUUUAGAAUUUUAAAUGACAUCAUUAAAAUGAAAAGUAGUCCUUAAACAGACCAUAUUUACAAUGCAUAUAACCUAUGAGCAGAAUAUAUAAAGAAUUCUUAGAGCUCAUUAAUAGACAACCCAAUUAAAAUGUAGACAUAAGAAGAUGAUAAAUAGCCAGUAUAGCACAAGGAAAGGUGUGCAACUCUAGAAUCAGAAAAAUACUAAUCAGUACAAUAACAAGAUUGAAUUAUAUACUCAUUAGGGAGAUGAAGUUAAAAGUUUCAAAAGCCUUGUCAUGACAUUUUCUUUUUGUUGGAUUCUCCCCCUUGGCCUUUAAUUUGUCAUGCCCAAUGGAUUCAUUCUGCUGGGUUUCCUGGGGUUGUGAUCCUCAUUGUCUUUUCCUAGGGUAUUGUCUAAAAUGUUUUGGAGUGACAGUUUGAUAUUCAUGAAGUUCCUGAGGUGCUCUUUAUCAUCAAAGUAUCUUAUUUCUCCAUCAAUUUUGAAAAAUAGUUUUUCAGGGUACAUCAAUCUGGGUUGGAGGCUGUUUUCCUUUAGGGCUUGAAAUACAUCACUCCAAGCUCUUCUUGCCUUGAGGGUUUGCAUUGAGAAGUCUGCUGUGAUUCUGAUGGACUUUCCUUUGUAUGUGUUUUGUUUCUUUUCUCUCACUGCUUGUAGCAUUUUGUUCUUCUGUUGGAUUUCUGGAAUCCUAACUAUUAUAUGCCUAUGUGUAGAUUUUUUUGAUUAAGGCUAGCUGGAGUCCUAUAUGCCUCACUUAUCAGUGUGUCAAGUUCUUUUCCCCUCCUUGGGAAGUUUUCUGCUAUCACUUCUGUGAACAGUUUUUUUUAUGUCAUCUGCACUCUCUCCUCUUUCUUCAUUGACUCCAAUCAGUCUUAUGUUAUUCUUCUUUGCAUCGUCUAGCAGGUGCUGGAUUGAUUUCUCAUGUUCCCUUACAAUUUUAAAGCAAUUUUUCUCUUCCUGGUCACUAAUUGCAAACUUCUCUUCUACAUCUGAAAUUCUAUCCUCACAUUGGUUCAUUCUGCUGUGCAGUCUUUUGAUGGAGAUUUUAAUCUCCUGCACAUCUGUUUGCAUCUGUUUUAUGGAUUCCAUUUGUUUCCUAUGUUGGGAUUCCAUCAUGUUCCUCAGAUCCUCUAUAUUUUUAUCUGUGUCCUCUCUAGAUUUAUUAAUCAUGUCUUUCACCAUGAGCACAAUCUUUGCUGUUGUCUGAUUAAUUAUUUCUGAUUUCAUUUUUUCCAGAUCCUCUUUCUUUGCUAGUUCAGAGAGUCCAGGUGGUUGAGUAUCAGAGUGUUCCAUCUCAUUUCCCUUUGGGGUUGCUGUAGGUGAUCCAGAAGUCUGUUUUUGAGGCUUGUUUACGUGUCUUCUCAUUUCUAUGGGGGGGAGAGUGCUUCUGGCACCUGUGCGGCUCACCUUCUCUGCCCUAGGAGCUUGGGAUGGUGGCAGGGGAGCUUCCUUCCAGGUGCUCCAACAAUAUAUUUCAUAGAACUAGAGAAAAUAAUCCAAAAAUUCAUUUGGAAUAAGAAGAGACCUAGAAUAGCAAAAGUAAUUCUAUGCAACAGAGACAUGACAGGGGUUUUAUAUAUAUGAUUCACUGAUGUUUGAAAGAUUAUUUAACAUUAACAUUUUAUUGAACAUAAACUCAACUCAAGAGAAGAGGAAAAGAUAGGGUUUUCAACAAAUG
rnacentral:lncRNA from 1 species